GAUGAACGCUGGCGGCGUGCCUAAUACAUGCGAGUCGAGCGAACAGACGAGGAGCUUGCUCCUCUGACGUUAGCGGCGGACGGGUGAGUAACACGUGGAUAACCUACCUAUAAGACUGGGAUAACUUCGGGAAACCGGAGCUAAUACCGGAUAAUAUAUUGAACCGCAUGGUUCAAUAGUGAAAGACGGUUUUGCUGUCACUUAUAGAUGGAUCCGCGCCGCAUUAGCUAGUUGGUAAGGUAACGGCUUACCAAGGCAGCGAUGCGUAGCCGACCUGAGAGGGUGAUCGGCCACACUGGAACUGAGACACGGUCCAGACUCCUACGGGAGGCAGCAGUAGGGAAUCUUCCGCAAUGGGCGAAAGCCUGACGGAGCAACGCCGCGUGAGUGAUGAAGGUCUUCGGAUCGUAAAACUCUGUUAUUAGGGAAGAACAAAUGUGUAAGUAACUAUGCACGUCUUGACGGUACCUAAUCAGAAAGCCACGGCUAACUACGUG
rnacentral:rRNA from 1 species